rfam:Nematostella vectensis strain CH2 x CH6 NEMVEscaffold_336_Cont24219, whole genome shotgun sequence.
GGCGUGAUCGUAUAGUGGUUAGUAGAUUGCGUUGUGGUCGCAGUAACCCAGGUUCGAUUCCUGGUCACGGCA